CUUCCCACCAAUUCUAACCUUUAUCCAGUGACUUCCACUCACACCACUUACUUCUCAGGAUCAAGAAGCUGUCGGAAACAGUAAUGGAAAAAACAUCAUAUUCCCCUUUCAUCAACUUCCUGGGCCUUCCACAAGAGUCAGGUGACAAUCAACAUCUCCAUCGCUCUAGUGAACAAAGAGGUAUCUGAAUAAGACAGAAAGCCAAGGAAUGAGGUGAUCAUUGCUCUACACAAGCAAGCUGGAGCAGGGAAAGCAACAGUAUACCAACUUGUGUAAUGACCUUACACUCUGCAAGAAGGUGGCUGUCUGGCUAUUUCCUUACCUCAGUUUUCAUUAAUACCUUUGUAAAACCAGCAACACCUCCUUGCUAAUCAACAAUAUUUUUCUUACAUCUUCAUAAAAGUCCAGUCUGGUAUUCACAUGCUUCAGUUCGAUCAGUAUUAAACAGUUUCUAAUGGUUUAAAAAAAUAAAAAC